rnacentral:misc_RNA from 1 species
UUAACCAUCAGGCUAUAUUACGGUACCAACUGGUUAGAAUUCAAUAUGGCGGCCAAGUUUCUGUCUUUAGCCGCUGGUUUGGAGUCAAAACAACAGGAGGAAAUCUUCUCUUCUGACCCGUUAUUCUGUCCCAAUUGUGGAUCAAUAUUUCCUUUGCCAGGUCUAGCGGAUGUUGUGACUUGCAAAAUUUGCAAAUUCCAAAAGGAUACGAAAGAAUUUGAAGGAGUUGAGAUUUAUUCAAAGAAAAUAUUCAAUACAUAUAAACCGAAAACCGAUGUUCAAAAACCGGAUGAUGAAAAGGAGCUUGUUGGGCCCAUGGUUGAUCAGAAAUGUUCAAAAUGUGGACAUGAAGGAAUGACUUUCACAACAAGACAAACUCGUUCUGCAGAUGAAGGACAAACAGUGUUUUAUAAUUGUCCAAGUUGUGGCAACCAAGAAACUGAAUAUUCAUGAUUGUGAACUUUAUCUGAAGAGUUUUGGAUGGAUAAUCUGGAAAAGUGUUGGUGAUCACAAUACGCUGUUGAAAAUUGCCCAGGAAAAUACAUCAAUGAGGAUAUAAAACAAAUGCUGGAUAAUCAGGAAGAUUUAGGUUGCAAAAAUCAUCUUUUAGCUGCAAUAUAUUAGAUAUUAUACUAUAUUUUCAACUGGAUGUCAACUACAAAUGAGCAAUGAUGUAAAUAAAAAAAUCUCCCAUCAUCACAAUGCUUUAUUGGCUAUUCUGGGUGAACAGGUAUGGGUCAUAGCCACAGACCCCUAGUGACUUCAGGUAAAAAUGGAUAAAAUUUCAACCAGUUCUAUGUGUUCACAUGCAGAAACUAGACAAAUGUAUGUAUGAAUUUGAGCCCAUUCCUGUGUGAACAUAUCCCUUUAGUAAGUUUCGUUUCUCCUGUGCAUAUUAUGGUUUCAGAGUGAUUUAUAAAGAUUGUAACAUAGAAAUAGCAAAGGGUACCUGACAGUUUGGUCAGAUGGUGUUAUGGUUUAAAAGUGAUUUAUAAAGAUUGUAACAUAG